AUCACCAUGGGGUCAAAUUUGUAUCCUAAUAAUGAGACAGUAGACUCAGUCGUGUUCCUGUGCUUUCAAAAAGCAAUUAUGUUCAUUAAAAUUCAUAAUUACGUUUAUUGUAGUUAUCAACAACAAGACAUAUUCUUUCCAGGCAAGUUGGUGGUCAGGGCCACACACCCACACCCUCCUGGUGCCUCUGCUGCCGCGCCGGUCAUCGUGGAGAAGGCCCCUCAAGCUCGUAUCGAAAAGAAGUAUUUGGUUCCUUUGCCAGUCGGUCAAUUCUACUUCCUCAUGCGCAAGAGAAUUCCCCUGAGACCCGAGGAUGCCCUCAUCUUCUUCGUCAACAAUGUGAUUCCUCCCACCAGCGCCACCAUGGGAUCGCUCUACCAGGGAAGGAACCGAGAUGAGACCAGACUCAGCCCUCCAGUGGGCCCAGGAGACCACCGAGGGACACCCACGCACCUCAUGACAUGGGGGAGGGCGGAUGGAGAUGGUGGGAGAGUGAAGCAACCCACCCC